UUAAGCGACUAAGCGUACACGGUGGAUGCCCUGGCAGUCAGAGGCGAUGAAGGACGUGCUAAUCUGCGAUAAGCGUCGGUAAGGUGAUAUGAACCGUUAUAACCGGCGAUUUCCGAAUGGGGAAACCCAGUGUGUUUCGACACACUAUCAUUAACUGAAUCCAUAGGUUAAUGAGGCGAACCGGGGGAACUGAAACAUCUAAGUACCCCGAGGAAAAGAAAUCAACCGAGAUUCCCCCAGUAGCGGCGAGCGAACGGGGAGCAGCCCAGAGCCUGAAUCAGUGUGUGUGUUAGUGGAAGCGUCUGGAAAGGCGCGCGAUACAGGGUGACAGCCCCGUACACAAAAAUGCACAUGCUGUGAGCUCGAUGAGUAGGGCGGGACACGUGGUAUCCUGUCUGAAUAUGGGGGGACCAUCCUCCAAGGCUAAAUACUCCUGACUGACCGAUAGUGAACCAGUACCGUGAGGGAAAGGCGAAAAGAACCCCGGCGAGGGGAGUGAAAAAGAACCUGAAACCGUGUACGUACAAGCAGUGGGAGCACGCUUAGGCGUGUGACUGCGUACCUUUUGUAUAAUGGGUCAGCGACUUAUAUUCUGUAGCAAGGUUAACCGAAUAGGGGAGCCGAAGGGAAACCGAGUCUUAACUGGGCGUUAAGUUGCAGGGUAUAGACCCGAAACCCGGUGAUCUAGCCAUGGGCAGGUUGAAGGUUGGGUAACACUAACUGGAGGACCGAACCGACUAAUGUUGAAAAAUUAGCGGAUGACUUGUGGCUGGGGGUGAAAGGCCAAUCAAACCGGGAGAUAGCUGGUUCUCCCCGAAAGCUAUUUAGGUAGCGCCUCGUGAAUUCAUCUCCGGGGGUAGAGCACUGUUUCGGCAAGGGGGUCAUCCCGACUUACCAACCCGAUGCAAACUGCGAAUACCGGAGAAUGUUAUCACGGGAGACACACGGCGGGUGCUAACGUCCGUCGUGAAGAGGGAAACAACCCAGACCGCCAGCUAAGGUCCCAAAGUCAUGGUUAAGUGGGAAACGAUGUGGGAAGGCCCAGACAGCCAGGAUGUUGGCUUAGAAGCAGCCAUCAUUUAAAGAAAGCGUAAUAGCUCACUGGUCGAGUCGGCCUGCGCGGAAGAUGUAACGGGGCUAAACCAUGCACCGAAGCUGCGGCAGCGACGCUGAUGCGUUGUUGGGUAGGGGAGCGUUCUGUAAGCCUGCGAAGGUGUGCUGUGAGGCAUGCUGGAGGUAUCAGAAGUGCGAAUGCUGACAUAAGUAACGAUAAAGCGGGUGAAAAGCCCGCUCGCCGGAAGACCAAGGGUUCCUGUCCAACGUUAAUCGGGGCAGGGUGAGUCGACCCCUAAGGCGAGGCCGAAAGGCGUAGUCGAUGGGAAACAGGUUAAUAUUCCUGUACUUGGUGUUACUGCGAAGGGGGGACGGAGAAGGCUAUGUUGGCCGGGCGACGGUUGUCCCGGUUUAAGCGUGUAGGCUGGUUUUCCAGGCAAAUCCGGAAAAUCAAGGCUGAGGCGUGAUGACGAGGCACUACGGUGCUGAAGCAACAAAUGCCCUGCUUCCAGGAAAAGCCUCUAAGCAUCAGGUAACAUCAAAUCGUACCCCAAACCGACACAGGUGGUCAGGUAGAGAAUACCAAGGCGCUUGAGAGAACUCGGGUGAAGGAACUAGGCAAAAUGGUGCCGUAACUUCGGGAGAAGGCACGCUGAUAUGUAGGUGAAGUCCCUCGCGGAUGGAGCUGAAAUCAGUCGAAGAUACCAGCUGGCUGCAACUGUUUAUUAAAAACACAGCACUGUGCAAACACGAAAGUGGACGUAUACGGUGUGACGCCUGCCCGGUGCCGGAAGGUUAAUUGAUGGGGUUAGCGCAAGCGAAGCUCUUGAUCGAAGCCCCGGUAAACGGCGGCCGUAACUAUAACGGUCCUAAGGUAGCGAAAUUCCUUGUCGGGUAAGUUCCGACCUGCACGAAUGGCGUAAUGAUGGCCAGGCUGUCUCCACCCGAGACUCAGUGAAAUUGAACUCGCUGUGAAGAUGCAGUGUACCCGCGGCAAGACGGAAAGACCCCGUGAACCUUUACUAUAGCUUGACACUGAACAUUGAGCCUUGAUGUGUAGGAUAGGUGGGAGGCUUAGAAGUGUGGACGCCAGUCUGCAUGGAGCCGACCUUGAAAUACCACCCUUUAAUGUUUGAUGUUCUAACGUUGACCCGUAAUCCGGGUUGCGGACAGUGUCUGGUGGGUAGUUUGACUGGGGCGGUCUCCUCCUAAAGAGUAACGGAGGAGCACGAAGGUUGGCUAAUCCUGGUCGGACAUCAGGAGGUUAGUGCAAUGGCAUAAGCCAGCUUGACUGCGAGCGUGACGGCGCGAGCAGGUGCGAAAGCAGGUCAUAGUGAUCCGGUGGUUCUGAAUGGAAGGGCCAUCGCUCAACGGAUAAAAGGUACUCCGGGGAUAACAGGCUGAUACCGCCCAAGAGUUCAUAUCGACGGCGGUGUUUGGCACCUCGAUGUCGGCUCAUCACAUCCUGGGGCUGAAGUAGGUCCCAAGGGUAUGGCUGUUCGCCAUUUAAAGUGGUACGCGAGCUGGGUUUAGAACGUCGUGAGACAGUUCGGUCCCUAUCUGCCGUGGGCGCUGGAGAACUGAGGGGGGCUGCUCCUAGUACGAGAGGACCGGAGUGGACGCAUCACUGGUGUUCGGGUUGUCAUGCCAAUGGCACUGCCCGGUAGCUAAAUGCGGAAGAGAUAAGUGCUGAAAGCAUCUAAGCACGAAACUUGCC
rnacentral:rRNA from 1 species